AUUGAACGCUGGCGGCAGGCCUAACACAUGCAAGUCGAGCGGUAGCACAGAGAGCUUGCUCUCGGGUGACGAGCGGCGGACGGGUGAGUAAUGUCUGGGAAACUGCCUGAUGGAGGGGGAUAACUACUGGAAACGGUAGCUAAUACCGCAUAACGUCGCAAGACCAAAGAGGGGGACCUUCGGGCCUCUUGCCAUCAGAUGUGCCCAGAUGGGAUUAGCUAGUAGGUGGGGUAAUGGCUCACCUAGGCGACGAUCCCUAGCUGGUCUGAGAGGAUGACCCGCCACACUGGAACUGAGACACGGUCCAGACUCCUACGGGAGGCAGCAGUGGGGAAUAUUGCACAAUGGGCGCAAGCCUGAUGCAGCCAUGCCGCGUGUGUGAAGAAGGCCUUCGGGUUGUAAAGCACUUUCAGCGAGGAGGAAGGCAUUAAGGUUAAUAACCUUAGUGAUUGACGUUACUCGCAGAAGAAGCACCGGCUAACUCCGUGCCAGCAGCCGCAGUAA
rnacentral:rRNA from 1 species